rnacentral:rRNA from 1 species
GACGAACGCUGGCGGCGUGGAUUAGGCAUGCAAGUUGAGCGACGGUUAAGGGCUUGCCCUUAAUACGGAGCAGCGAACGGGUGAGUAACACGUGAACAAUCUGUCCCUUCAUUCCGGAUAAUUGGUCGAAAGGCCUUGUAAUACGGGCGAGGGUCUCUGGAAGGCAUCUUUUGGUAGAAGGAAGGCGCAAGCCGUGCAGG